rnacentral:rRNA from 1 species
UACGGGGGGAGCAAGCGUUGUUCGGAUUUACUGGGCGUAAAGGGCGCGUAGGCGGUAGCACAAGUCGAUUGUGAAAUCUCCGGGCUUAACUCGGAAAGGUCAACCGAUACUGCGGGGCUAGAGUGCAGAAGGGGCAACUGGAAUUCUCGGUGUAGCGGUGAAAUGCGUAGAUAUCGAGAGGAACACCUGCGGCGAAGGCGGGUUGCUGGGCUGACACUGACGCUGAUGUGCGAAAGCUAGGGGAGCGAACGGG